UACGUAGGUGGCAAGCGUUGUCCGGAUUUAUUGGGCGUAAAGAGCGUGUAGGCGGCCAGGUAGGUCAGCUGUGAAAACUCGAGGCUCAACCUCGAGACGUCGGUUGAAACCACCUGGCUAGAGUCCGGAAGAGGAGAGUGGAAUUCCUGGUGUAGCGGUGAAAUGCGCAGAUAUCAGGAAGAACACCCGUGGCGAAGGCGGCUCUCUGGGACGGUACUGACGCUGAGACGCGAAAGCGUGGGGAGCGAACAGG
rnacentral:rRNA from 1 species